AGCGAACGCUGGCGGCAGGCCUAACACAUGCAAGUCGAACGAAGCCUUCGGGCUUAGUGGCGGACGGGUGAGUAACACGUGGGAACGUACCUUUUGGUUCGGAACAACUCAGGGAAACUUGAGCUAAUACCGGAUGAGCCCUUAGGGGGAAAGAUUUAUCGCCGAAAGAGCGGCCCGCGUUAGAUUAGCUAGUUGGUGAGGUAAAGGCUCACCAAGGCUACGAUCUAUAGCUGGUCUGAGAGGAUGAUCAGCCACACUGGGACUGAGACACGGCCCAGACUCCUACGGGAGGCAGCAGUGGGGAAUCUUGCGCAAUGGGCGAAAGCCUGACGCAGCCAUGCCGCGUGAAUGAUGAAGGUCUUAGGAUUGUAAAAUUCUUUUACCAGGGACGAUUAUGACGGUACCUGGAGAAAAAGCCCCGGCUAACUUCGUGCCAGCAGCCGCGGUAACAC
rnacentral:rRNA from 1 species